UUGAUAGGCUGGGUGUGGAAGCGUGGCAACAUGUGAAGCUAACCAGUACUAAUAUCUCCAUCGGCUUUAUUUUG
rnacentral:rRNA from 1 species